rnacentral:rRNA from 1 species
CGCGUAGGCGGCACGGCAAGUCGGGAGUGAAAGGCCUGGGCUCAACCGAGGAACUGCUUUCGAGACUGCCGAGCUAGAGUGCGGAAGGGGCAACUGGAAUUCCCAGUGUAGCGGUGAAAUGCGUAGAUAUUGGGAAGAACACCUGAGGCGAAGGCGGGUUGCUGGGCCGACACUGACGCUGAGGCGCGAAAGCCAGGGAGCAAACG